GGUGAGGUGUCCGAGUGGCUGAAGGAGCCCGCCUGGAAAGUGUGUAUACGGCAACGUAUGGGGGGUUCGAACCCCCCCCUCACCGCCA
rnacentral:tRNA from 1 species